AAUGAAAUCAAUUUAUUUAAAGCAAGUAAUCAAUAUGGCUUAUGAAUUUCUUAAAAAGCUUGGCUCAUGCCAAAAAUUAUUAUCAUACUCAGUUAUCUGGGAUACCUUGGCCGAGGGCUAUCCCAACUGAGUCCGCCAAGGCUAUUAGAAAGUCAUGUACGCAUAAAACAUAUUUUCAUUUUAAAAAUAUAGUCGUUCCUUGGCGUUGGCCGAGUUCCCCUUCACGUGGUGGUUUAGCGUGAAGUGAACUCUAAAGUCAUACCUCGGGAGUUACCCUACUCGCCUCUCCAAUUGAGGUAAAAUAUAUAAAUAUCCGAAUUUCGUGCCCCUCUAAUAGGCUAGUCCACAGAAUCUACCUACUGUAGCAAGCUAAACCCACCAUACAAUAAAAUUUUGACAGCAUGACAGGGCUAAUAUUUUAUUACCCAACCUGCAAGGGUAAAAUAAGACAAUCCAUCCAACUCAUAAAACACAGCCCAGCCAGUCAUGCCAACACAAUAACAAUAUAACAUAAGCCAUCAAUUUCCAAUCAUAAAAUUACAACAUACCAGUGGUCUCCAAUUACUUUAUUUUCAAAAUUGUUAUUUCGUUUCAAGACAAUUUAUAAAAUCUUUUCAUUUAAAUUCAUUUUUAUUUAUAAAACCUAAAAUUUACCAUUUAACUCAUUUUCAUAAAAUUUCACCAAAUCCGAAUUAAAACAUACUUUAGAUAAUUAAAAUGAUGAUAAGGUUACUCACAGUACUAGGAGUUCGAUAUACUCCUAUUCUCGAUCUUCGGGCACAAUCUCUUUAGCCUUGUUAGAGGGCUCACCACCUAUACAUCAUACGUGACACGAAUUUCAAUAAAUUGUGUCAAUUGAUCAUAAACUAUUUCAGGCUCUCUAAAUCUAAAUGAAUGCAUGCGAUGGGAUGCAAAAUGUCUAAUUAAAUCACUUAAAUGUGAUAUUCGACCUAACUCACACUAUACUUGGCCUAAUCGGCUAAAAUCUCUAAUUUAACUCCAAAUCAAUUCUUCUCACUUUCUACACUCCAAUUAUACCUAAAUUACCUCAGUGACUGUCAAUGAGAUUCAAUUUAUCAGUCCUGGGUCAAUAAUCACACAUGUUUAUACGUUAAGCAAAAAUUUAGAUUUUCACACCAAAAUUUCCCAUUUAAUUUCUAGCCUCACCAAACAUCAAAUAUCACCAAAAUAUCAUAAAAUAUCAUCAAUUUCAGCCACAAUAUCCUCCCUAGAAAAUUCAGCCAUUGAUGGGUGAUGGGGAAAAUGAAUUCUUUUCUUGUUGUUUUGUUUCUAGACAUGAUAAAUUAGUUACAAACACUAACAUAACUUAGAAUCAAAUCAAUCCAACAUCAUUCUCUCUCCAUACCUAUUCCAACCAGCCAUGAAUUCACCAUGAAAACAUGAAAUCUAACCAUGGAAAAUGAAAAAGAAAGCAUGGGUAGUGUAAAUCAUAAGUGAAAAUCAAGAAAUUUUACCUUUAUUAGCUUAAUCCCUUGAAAUCCCACACUUUUUCUUCAAUUUUCCCACCUAGGGUUCUUGUUUUUUUUUCCUUUCCUCCUUUGUUCUUCUUUGGCCGGCCAUAUGAAUGAGAAAU
rnacentral:lncRNA from 1 species